rnacentral:misc_RNA from 1 species
AAGUCGUAACAAGGUCUCCGUUGGUGAACCAGCGGAGGGAUCAUUACAGAGUUAUCUAACUCCCAAACCCAUGUGAACUUACCUUUGUUGCCUCGGCAGUAGUUGCUGGGCGAGCCUACCCGGGAACGAGCUACCCUGUAGCGAGUUACCCUGGAACGACUUACCCUGUAACGCCUGCCGGUGGACUACUAAACUCUUGUUAUUUUUAAAGUAAUCUGAGCGUCUUAUUUUAAUAAGUCAAAACUUUCAACAACGGAUCUCUUGGUUCUG